CAGACCUCAUUUAAGGGUUAGCAGUGGAGGUAUCUUGCUGUAGUCUAGGGCCUUACUACUUUGCUGUUGUUGCUGUGCUUUCUAUUUCAUUGCUGUACUGCUCACUUUUUUGGGGUGCACUUAGUAUGGUAUUGUCUUUUUGUAAAUAACACUUCUCAAGAUCAACUUGUCUAGGAAAGCCUUAUGUUACAAAUCUUAAUUGGGGUUAGAGUUUGGGGGCCCCUGUUUCUUGCUUAUUAGGACAUUAAUAUCCUCAUGAAGAGAGGAGCGUACAGCACUGCUGCUUGCCUUGGCUUUUUCUGGAAUGGCACUGAAGUAUGAAGUAUAAAAGCACUGAAAUAUUCAAGGUACAAGCCGUUUUGUACUAGGCAUGUUCUUCAUUCAAGGUGGAAGUCAGAAGGCACCAAAUCCAGACUAUAGGAUGGGUGUGGUUGGACAGUACAACUAAGACUGAUGAUACAAAAAUGUACAAGCAGGCGUAAAGAAAUACGACUGUUAGCAUUAGGCUGUACACAAAAUGUUCCAGUUCCUCUUGAGACCUCCUUGUUCCAUAACUGAUGUGAUGGGGGCAGUGGGCCGACUUCCUCAUUUUCCAGUGCUGAUCUAUAUCAAGUGAUCAACUAGAGCAACUGUUGGCACCUUGUCCCAGAACCUCUGCUAAACACAAUCACCUCUAGCAAAGAUACGGAUGACUAAAUAAUUCAGUCCAAUGGAACCAGGACUAUUACACUUUGAAAUUACAGCUGCUUGGAGUAGGAAAAGAGUGUCUUGUCCUCUGCUCCUGGUGAUGAGGAGAAUCUCUCUCUGAAGGAUGGCAUUUGAAAAACAAACAAGAGGGCUGGAUGGAUACUCUGGGAGUUUUACAGCUCCACUUUUGAAAAAUACUGUAGAACUUCUUUGUACAGCUGCACAGUGUAGAAUUGUCUAAGCUCCAUUACAUCAUGGUGUAUUGCAUUGUGAAAUGAAGUGAUUGCAAUGUGAUUGGAACAGCUGAUGUAUUUCAAAACACUUGACAGAAGGGAAAGUGUAAUGGAAAAUCAAAUGGAUAUACAUGGAUAGCAGAAGUGAUCCAAACAAAUUUUGAACAAAAUUAUCUUUGCUAUCCCUUUUGUAAAAACAACUUUGUGUUAGCAGAUUGAUUUGUAUUUAUGAUGGUAUAGAUCUUCUCGUGUUCAAUUUCCUUAUACGAAUCUUACAGAAAACAAUAGUUGGAUACUGCAGUAUAAAAUAAUAUAAAUAAAGAAUUUAUAUAUUAAAUUUAGAUAAUAUUUAGUCAUGAGUUUGAAGCCCUUAUUUGCUAUUUCUUUUCAUUUAGUUGAUCAUAUCUAUUUCUAAUCAAGUGGGACAAUAAAGUUAACAUGAAU
ensembl:lncRNA